GCCUUCAUCGUGGAGUGGUCAGCACGCUCGACUCGUAACCGAGAGGUCCGUGGUUCGAUUCCAGGCGAAGGCG
rnacentral:tRNA from 1 species